rnacentral:lncRNA from 1 species
GACCAUCCACUAGCUGUUAGCCCCGAGCAGCCUUCCUGCCCUUGGGGAAAAUCAAUCCAUCAGCAGCCAGCCCAGAGGCGCUGGCUCUUAGCAGAGCAGUGAUGGUGAUAAAUGGCUGUGAGGCUGCAGCUUGCUGCCACACACUUUCCCCAGGUCCUCCUGCAGCAGCCAGCAGGGCUGGGAGGCAGCCCUGAGCUCAGGGGAAGAUCCGGUGCGGCCAGUGGAAUCCAGGCUGCAUCUCAGUCCUGCAGCUCAGCAGCAGAUUUUCCAGGCUCCAGGCACCAUGUGUCGGUCAGAUGAGGCCAGGCACGUAAUCAGCUCACUUGAAGAGACCCUGUGCAGCACCCUGUGCAUACCACCGUGUGCACACACAUGCACGGAGACACAGACACAUGCACAGAGCUGCACCCACAGGCACAUGCAUGCACACACAGACACACACACGAUGUGACACAUGCACACACGAUGCAACGUGAACCAACAGACACGUGCAUGUACACACGCAGGCACACACACACACGAUGUGACGCACGCAGGCACAGCUGCACCUGCAUACACAUGCAUGCACACACCGACACACACACACGAUGUGGGACAUGCGUGCACACAGGCAUAGAGCUGAACCUGCAUACACAGGCAUGCACACACACCGACACACACACACACACGAUGUGAGACAUGCAUGCACACAGGCAUAGAGCUGAACCUGCAUGCACAUGCAUGCACACACACCGACACACACACACAAUGUGACGCAUGCACGCAGGCACAGCU